GACGAACGCUGGCGGCGUGCCUAAUACAUGCAAGUAGAACGCUGAAGAGAGGAGCUUGCUCUUCUUGGAUGAGUUGCGAACGGGUGAGUAACGCGUAGGUAACCUGCCUUGUAGCGGGGGAUAACUAUUGGAAACGAUAGCUAAUACCGCAUAACAAUGGAUGACACAUGUCAUUUAUUUGAAAGGGGCAAUUGCUCCACUACAAGAUGGACCUGCGUUGUAUUAGCUAGUAGGUGAGGUAAUGGCUCACCUAGGCGACGAUACAUAGCCGACCUGAGAGGGUGAUCGGCCACACUGGGACUGAGACACGGCCCAGACUCCUACGGGAGGCAGCAGUAGGGAAUCUUCGGCAAUGGGGGCAACCCUGACCGAGCAACGCCGCGUGAGUGAAGAAGGUUUUCGGAUCGUAAAGCUCUGUUGUAAGUCAAGAACGGGUGUGAGAGUGGAAAGUUCACACUAUGACGGUAGCUUACCAGAAAGGGACGGCUAACUACGUGCCAGCAGCCGCGGUAAUACGUAGGUCCCGAGCGUUGUCCGGAUUUAUUGGGCGUAAAGCGAGCGCAGGCGGUUUGAUAAGUCUGAAGUUAAAGGCUGUGGCUCAACCAUAGUUCGCUUUGGAAACUGUCAAACUUGAGUGCAGAAGGGGAGAGUGGAAUUCCAUGUGUAGCGGUGAAAUGCGUAGAUAUAUGGAGGAACACCGGUGGCGAAAGCGGCUCUCUGGUCUGUAACUGACGCUGAGGCUCGAAAGCGUGGGGAGCGAACAGGAUUAGAUACCCUGGUAGUCCACGCCGUAAACGAUGAGUGCUAGGUGUUGGAUCCUUUCCGGGAUUCAGUGCCGCAGCUAACGCAUUAAGCACUCCGCCUGGGGAGUACGACCGCAAGGUUGAAACUCAAAGGAAUUGACGGGGGCCCGCACAAGCGGUGGAGCAUGUGGUUUAAUUCGAAGCAACGCGAAGAACCUUACCAGGUCUUGACAUCCCGAUGCUAUUUCUAGAGAUAGAAAGUUACUUCGGUACAUCGGUGACAGGUGGUGCAUGGUUGUCGUCAGCUCGUGUCGUGAGAUGUUGGGUUAAGUCCCGCAACGAGCGCAACCCCUAUUGUUAGUUGCCAUCAUUCAGUUGGGCACUCUAGCGAGACUGCCGGUAAUAAACCGGAGGAAGGUGGGGAUGACGUCAAAUCAUCAUGCCCCUUAUGACCUGGGCUACACACGUGCUACAAUGGUUGGUACAACGAGUUGCGAGUCGGUGACGGCGAGCUAAUCUCUUAAAGCCAAUCUCAGUUCGGAUUGUAGGCUGCGACUCGCCUACAUGAAGUCGGAAUCGCUAGUAAUCGCGGAUCAGCACGCCGCGGUGAAUACGUUCCCGGGCCU
rnacentral:rRNA from 1 species